rnacentral:rRNA from 1 species
UACGAAGGGAGCUAGCGUUGUUCGGAAUCACUGGGCGUGAAGCGCACGUAGGCGGAUUUGCCAGUCAGGGGUGAAAUCCCGGGGCUCAACCUCGGAACUGCCUUUGAUACAGCAAGUCUUGAGUUCGAGAGAGGUGGGUGGAAUUCCUAGUGUAGAGGUGAAAUUCGUAGAUAUUAGGAAGAACACCGGUGGCGAAGGCGGCCCACUGGCUCGACACUGACGCUGAGGUGCGAAAGCGUGGGGAGCAACAG